AACGAACGCUGGCGGCAUGCCUAACACAUGCAAGUCGAACGAAGCCUUCGGGCUUAGUGGCGCACGGGUGCGUAACGCGUGGGAAUCUGCCCCUUGCUUCGGAAUAACAGUUAGAAAUGACUGCUAAUACCGGAUGAAGACUUCGGACCAAAGAUUUAUCGGCAAGGGAUGAGCCCGCGUAGGAUUAGGUAGUUGGUGGGGUAAAGGCCUACCAAGCCGACGAUCCUUAGCUGGUCUGAGAGGAUGAUCAGCCACACUGGGACUGAGACACGGCCCAGACUCCUACGGGAGGCAGCAGUGGGGAAUAUUGGACAAUGGACGCAAGUCUGAUCCAGCAAUGCCGCGUGAGUGAUGAAGGCCUUAGGGUUGUAAAGCUCUUUUACCAGGGAUGAUAAUGACAGUACCUGGAGAAUAAGCUCCGGCUAACUCCGUG
rnacentral:rRNA from 1 species